GUUACAGCCAUUGGUGGAUGCCUUGGCGUCAUAUGGCGAUGAAGGACGCAGCAAGCUGCGAUAAGCUUCGGGGAGCGGCACGCACGCUUUGAUCCGGAGAUUUCCGAAUGGGGAAACCCAAUGCCGGUAAUGCGGCAUUACUCCCAGCUGAAUAUAUAGGCUGGGUAGAGCGACACGCGGUGAAGUGAAACAUCUCAGUAACCGUAGGAACAGAAAGAGAAUCGAUUCCGUAAGUAGCGGCGAGCGAAAGCGGAACAGCCCAAACCAG
rnacentral:rRNA from 14 species